rnacentral:rRNA from 1 species
CUACGGGUUGCAGCAGUGAGGAAUAUUGCACAAUGGGGGGAACCCUGAUGCAGCAACGCCGCGUGGAGGAUGACGCAUUUCGGUGUGUAAACUCCUUUUAUAUGUCAAGAAAAUGACGGUAGCAUAUGAAUAAGCACCGGCUAACUCCGUGCCAGCGGCCGCGGUAAUACGGAGGGUGCAAGCGUUACUCGGAAGCACUGGGCGUAAAGGACGCGUAGGCGGGUUGGAAAGUCAGGUGUGAAAUCCUACAGCUUAACUGUAGAACUGCACUUGAAACUUCUAAUCUAGAGUAUGGGAGGGGGAGAUGGAAUUAGUGGUGUAGGGGUAAAAUCCGUAGAUAUCACUAGGAAUACCUAAAGCGAAGGCGAUCUCCUGGAACAUUACUGACGCUAAGGCGUGAAAGCGUGGGGAGCAAACAGGAUUAGAUACCCUAGUAGUC